UACGGAGGGUGCAAGCGUUAUCCGGAUUCACUGGGUUUAAAGGGUGCGUAGGUGGGGUGGUAAGUCAGUGGUGAAAUCUCCAGGCUUAACUUGGAAACUGCCAUUGAUACUAUCAUUCUUGAAUACCGUGGAGAUGAGCGUAAUAUGUCAUGUAGCGGUGAAAUGCUUAGAUAUGACAUAGAACACCAAUUGCGAAGGCAGCUCGUUACACGAAUAUUGACACUCAGGCACGAAAGCGUGGGGAUCAAACAGG
rnacentral:rRNA from 1 species